UGUAUUAUAUAUAUGUAUAUAUCUAUGUGUGUGUGUUGAUAUAUAUGUAUAUAUAUUAUAUAUAUACAUAUGUAUGUGUGUGUGUGUGUAUGCAUAUUCAACUGUAAUUUUAGAGAGCUCAGUGUCUAAAUGUGACUGUUUCAAAGACGAAUGUGAAAUCUAAGUGUGAAUUCAGUCUCCACGUAUGACUCAUGUCUACAAAGUUAGUGUCAGAGGGCAUGCAGUGUGACUUCAGUCUACAAACACAAGACAGGACUUCAGGAGAGACUUCAAUUAUAUGUAGCCUUCCAGAAUCCACCUUGGAAUGCCACGCUCCAACAGGAACUCAAAGCAGGAGAGAAGAUCGGGCCUCAGACAUCACAGCGGGAUUUUAGUGUCCAUUUGGCCCUGAAAAUAUACCCGAAUGUCAGCCGGGCUUCAGACAUCUUUUCAAGCCAUCAAACUUGGAAAGUCUAAGGAAUUCUGAAGCGUCUAACUCCAGCCUAUGAAGUCACAUUUCAGAUUUACACAGAUUUACCUGGAAUCUUGCACCAUAGUUGCCCUGAAGUCUGAAAUGCUGUAUCCCUUCUGGUCCCUGAUGCCUCUACAAAGUCAUCCUCGAGGAAGUCCGUCAUCCCAGGGUGCUUGUAGGCCAUUGCUCCUUCACUCGAACGGAAAAGUCAUAUUCAAGCCUGAGAUGUUCACACUUAAAGAGGUCGUAGUCACACUGAUACGACCUGUCACACUACAUUCGUUGUUUCAGUCAGUUAUAUGCAUAUGUAUGUGUGUGUGUAUAUAUAUAUAUAUAUAUAUAUAUAUAUAUAUAUAUAUAUAUAUAUAUAGAGAGAGAGAGAGAGAGAGAGAGA